rnacentral:lncRNA from 1 species
AUGAUCGAUAAUGCUGUAAAUUGCACUCUCAAGACGUCCUAAUGAUCAUUAAUAAUACUGGACAGCAUCCCCCGGAAUUUGGUAAAAUGGUUUCACAAAACCCAAGUAUUAACUGCAAAAUAAUAGAAAAUUGAUACAAAGAUUUCUUCGCAUUAGAACUGUUGUUCGCGUCAGUUUCUUUGAUCUCAAAGACCAACACUAGGUGAGAAGUAGCACCAACAGAUAUCUUUUUCUUUUAGGAGACAAGUAAAACACCAUCCAAGUUUUUGUCCCCAACAACAUCAUCCCAUCACUUUUUAUCCAUUAUCUACUGCAUGAUUACAUAAAAGCAUAAAACACAGCAAUACUAGUGGCGGCCAAGCAAAUAUUUUGUCACCACAUGUUUGAAUUAAUGGUAGAGACCAAGGUAUAAAACAUCGGCCAAUACGUGGUCGUAUGUAUCGAGAUUCAGCACUUCUGAUGCUCAUAUUUAUCAUAUAUCACCAUCUUGGAGUAUUCCUCUGAUCGGGAAUCUAUUACCCCAUACCGCAUUUUGUCUAAUAACCCUGGUAUAGGGGUGGGGUUUAAGAACCAACACUUCUCACUGUGUUUGCCUUAUCGUUACUAUCUAAUCAUUAUUAUUAUAAUUCUGACAAACCUAGCAUACUUCUAUUUGAGAGUUGAAAAUUAGUAGAUUACCUGCCAUUCUUGAAGGCCCUGCUUACUUUGAGGGUUUAGCUUCUUGAUGGAAUCUUCCUACCGGAAAUUCCGAAACUGUCCCCUUAUACACGUUUCCGAAACCACCCCCCCAAAAAUCAUGGUCCCGGUUGAACCCUUGUAGCGAUCAUCAAAUCCGAAAACUGUAAAACAAUUAUCAAGUUUUGGGUGGCCAAUAUUUCCCAUGCUGCUAACUCCUUCCGAUGUUCCCAAUUCCAUCACCAUUAGGUGUUCCUGAAAAUAUUCCGGAUCUACUAAAGAAAACCAACCAACACUGCCAUGGUCAAACAUUCAAAAUGAAAUCAAUUCGAUCAAAGAAAAAAAAAAGUCGUUCGAACUUAUUCAUUUUGAUCUUUGUUUUAGAUAAUUUAUUUUCUUUGAUGUCCAAUUAUUGGACGUAGGGUUUGUCAAGAAUGAAGAUAUGUUCCUGGGUUUUCACUGAAUUACAAAAAAUCACACAUCAAUAUUUGGCAAGUUAGUUCUGGUGUUUGGAGUAAAAUCAACAGAUGGUUUCAGAACAUUCAAAAAUAGAGAAUCACAUGUUCAUUUAGAACUUAAACAAAUGUGUCACAGACUAAAUCAAAACGAAAUAGAAUCAAUUAAGUCCGAAGAUCGCCAGAAAAAGCAAACACAACUUGUUGGCAGAGGGUUAGGCGUUCUUGAAAAUUUCGGAUAAAAUUACCUAAUUUAUCAGGGUUUCGUCACUCGAUUAUACUAAGAAAAACAAAGAUAAUGCUUUGGGUUUGGGACCUGAUUUUAGAUAAAAUCAGAUUUUCCAUGUUAUCCUGAUGUUUAUAGCAAAAUCCGAAACACGGUACUCAACACAUGAGAAAGUGCGAUUUUUGUUUUCUCAGCAACAAACUGAGAAGAAACAUAGAGAGAAGUGCUGAACCCAUGUGGUAAUUUUGUAGAAAAAAUGAAAGGAUUUAAAUUAUAUCAAUGGUAUUCAUCUAGGAAUCACGGACACUCUCCGGAAGCAACGUAUACGUGGCGGUCCAUGUUUUUAUUAUUAAUUCUUAAUUCGGACGCGUUAUUCCGAGGCGUGUGUCCAAAAUAGGACAGCGUGUCCUAGAGUGUUCAUUUUUUUUAUUUUUUUUAUUAGUUAAUUAGUACUGUUUUUUUUUUUGCUGAUUAUUUUUCCUCUCCUCCUCCUUCUUCUUCUUUUUUCUUCUUCUUCUUCUUUUCCGAUUAUGAUGUUGUUGACCUGUGCUCAUGGAUGGAUUGAAAUAAAUUUUGCUAAAUAGCUAAAUGGUAUGUUGGUUUUAUCUUUGUCAUUUUAGUUUUUUAGAUGAAAUUAUAUAAUAUUUUAUAAUAUGUUAAGCCUUAAGUUAUAGAAGACAUGUAUUUUAUUUUAUUUAUAUUAUCUUGAACUUAUUUAUUACCUUGAUCAUAAAUAUAAAAUAUAAUAAGACAUAUAAAUAUAUAUAUAAUAUAUAUAUAUAGUAUUUGCCGUUGUCCCUCAGUGUCGUGUCCGGAUUUUUUAAAAAAUUAUCAUGUCACGUGUCCGUGGUCCGACACGACACACGGUCCGUGUCGUGCUCUUAGUAGCAUCUUCUUGUUAUAGUUUCUCAUUUUAUUCUUAAAGAUCCCAAUUAAGUUUUACGUAAUAUUGUUUGAAUUAGAUUGUUUUCUCAUAAACUUUUUAUUACAAAAAAGGUCUUGAAUCUUUUUUUAGUCUUUGUUUUGGCAGUGAAUUCGUGGACGAAGUUCUUUAUUGACUCGAUUGAACUUUAUCCAGCAUUAUCCACGAUCGAUAUCAAAAAAAAAUGGAAAAAAACAUCGUAAGACCCAAACAACCGCGGUC